rnacentral:rRNA from 1 species
AUGAGGGAGGCCCUGGUGGAUGCCACGGGUUCAGGGAUGGAGGAUUGUGCGAGCAUACUAGUGGACGACAUACCACAGCUACUUAACAUCACUGCUCUGACGGUCAAUAUCACAACAUGGAAGGGGCAUUCGUAUGCUUCCAGUUUGGCAAGGCUCAUUGCACAAUGCAGCAAUCUUGAAGACCUCCGCAUUGAUGUCACGAGAGGCACCGAGAAGCCGGCAUGCUUGGAUCGAGCUUGCGUCUGCCACGACGAAGACGGCUGGGAGAACCAGCAGCUCUCACUGGAGCGUCUUGUACACUUGGACAUCGCUGGGUUCCAGGGACUGGACUACGAGGAGCGCCUGUCUCAGAUGAUACUAGCGGGCGCCCCAGCUCUCAAGAGAGAAUGA